rnacentral:sRNA from 1 species
UGUCGAUCUACUAUACCUAUCUACCACCAACCACAUGCUCUACCUACAAACGCCUUUCGACAAAUAACCAUCAUUAUGUCUAUUAGUACCGGAGGGCAUCAUAGUAAUCCAAUCCGGAUAGCCAGCUGUAAGGAUACAAGAAUACAAAGGAAUGGGGGUAGGAGGAAGACAGAGCGGACGAGAGGAAGACGGAGAAGUAGUUUUGGGGUGCAGAGGAGAGAGGGGGAGAAGGAAGAAGACAAGAGGAAGAGUAUGAAGACCGUGCAAGGAGGCCUUACCGAGGCGAGGUACGCACCGAGGAUGCAGGGAAGGUAUGGGGAAGGUUAGUCAGCUCUUAGAACUGGAAAAGAUAUAAAAGGGUAGCCUUUAGAGUAGAAAAUACAUAGCCCAAAACAGUUUAGUCUUCUCAGACUCUCGAGAUCAGCAAUCCCAACGACUGAAUUUAGUGCUCCAAGGACAGCUGAAUACAAACAAACGACUGAGGACAUGAAACUUAAAGUAGCAUCAGGUGUUCUCCAGCCUCUACGAGGACAGUGGCACCGCUACACCAG